UUCUUUAAUUUGAUACUGUUUGUUACAUCCUGAUCAACAUCACUGAGUUUCAAUUGUUAUAGUACUCUGGAUAUAUUAUAUAUAGAAUGCAUAUAAACAAACAUUAAUAAAAACUCACAUUAGUCAAAAAUGCUUUGAAUAGAAAAUCCAAAAAGUUACUAUUUGGUUAUUAGCACAACACUAAGAGACAUCACAGACAUCUGCAAAAUGGGUGGCGCUGUGGCAACAUACACAAGUUAUACCAAUAAAUGGAUUAUUACUCUCGCAGCGGCAUUUGGAUUACUAUUUUUCGUAUGGAUUCCUCAAGUCUCAGCCGAAUGUCAAA